GUCUUUGUACGACUUGACUUGACCUUUGAACCUAACAACUUGACGUACAUGUAUUCUCACCUUUACCUCAGGAUCAAAAGCAAUUAUAGAAUAUUAUUAAAUGGAACAUAUGUAAUAUAUAUUUAUAAUAUUUUUUGAGUAAUAUAUUGAAAAAAAUUUUGGUUUUGACACCUGACCCAAAGAACUAGACAUAUACAUGUAUUCUCAUCCUUUACCUCAGGAUCAACAGCUAUUAUAGAAUAUUAUCAAAUGGAACAUACAUUUAUACUUAUUUUUGGUGUAAUAUAUCUAAAUUAUUAGUUUUUGGUGGAAUUUUACUCCACACAAUAGUAAACUAUGACAAAUAUGAUGUUGUCAAGUGACUCAAGUCAAAGGUUAUCAAACAGGUAGGAUGGUUUUUUUGUGUGAGUUGAAUUGACUUAUCUUACUAAGACAUUAGUGGUAAGGCCCCUCUGCAAUACAUUUAUGUAUUUUUUGGGGUGUGUAUUUGUUUUGUAAUUUGUAAUUCUAUACACACACCUAUAUAGAACAGAAUGAUUAUUGAUGACAUUACAAAAGUGAUGAGUAUUGAAAAAAUUAAUGUUUUAUUACUUUUGUAUAUUUUGUGGUAUUAAAAAUCAAAUGCAAGCAAUGUAACUAUUUCAAUUAGUUUUGACAAGAGAAAUUAUGACAUUUUAACAAUAUGUACUCUGCCACUGAAGGGUUUAUAGAUUAAAAAAAUAUAUACUUUAUUGUACUGUAGGAGAAAUGGAUAAAAGAACAGAAUCCAUCUCCCAAUGUGAUUAUAGAGUUUGGUUGAUCGACUGAUGAAGAUACUGAGCUAUUGUUUGUUUCGUUUCUUUGCUACUAUUUGUCAUUUUCAUAUGAAAACAAAAUAUUUUUACAUUUUGUACAAAUUAGUUAUACUUGUUGUUAUAUAGAAAUUUGUUUAUAGUGUUACAACAAAAAUAAAUUCUAUAGAGACAUU
rnacentral:sRNA from 1 species